rnacentral:misc_RNA from 1 species
GCAUCGGAAUCCAUCCAUAUAGAACCACAAAACUUCUGCAUUAACCUUGUACACUCUCAAAUCUCAAUUCACAUAUACAUGGAUUUGUCUUCUAACUCCAAAGGAAUAUAUUAAAAUGUCUUCACGAGCAUCACAUAAUAAUUGGAGCAGGGAAAGCGAGAGAUUUACUAUUUUUUCACGCAACCAAUCUACUUGUAAAAGAUAUGCCUUCUCUAUUAGGAGAGAAAAAAACAGUCUAAUUGUUUAUUGAUUUAUAUAUAGUUGUUUUCCCUCAAGUUUUCAGGCACUUCCACCAGGAUAAUUGCAAGCAUUAUAGCUGGGAUUUUUAGACGAAAGAGUGGCGGUUUGCGAGAAAUCACAGUUCCAUGGAUUUCUA